UACGUAGGGUGCAAGCGUUAUCCGGAAUUAUUGGGCGUAAAGAGCUCGUAGGCGGCUUGUCGCGUCGACUGUGAAAUCCCGCGGCUCAACUGCGGGUCUGCAGUCGAUACGGGCAGGCUAGAGUUCGGUAGGGGAGACUGGAAUUCCUGGUGUAGCGGUGAAAUGCGCAGAUAUCAGGAGGAACACCGGUGGCGAAGGCAGCCCCCCUGGGAUAACACUGACGCUCAUGCACGAAAGCGUGGGGAGCAAACAGG
rnacentral:rRNA from 1 species